rnacentral:rRNA from 1 species
UACAGAGGUCUCAAGCGUUGUUCGGAUUCAUUGGGCGUAAAGGGUGCGUAGGCGGCGCGGUAAGUCGGGUGUGAAAUCUCGGGGCUUAACUCCGAAACUGCAUUCGAUACUGCUGUGCUUGAGGACUGGAGAGGAGACUGGAAUUUACGGUGUAGCAGUGAAAUGCGUAGAGAUCGUAAGGAAGACCAGUGGCGAAGGCGGGUCUCUGGACAGUUCCUGACACUGAGGCACGAAGGCCAGGGGAGCAAACGGG